GCCUUCCAUCUGCAUCUUCGUCCUUCCGUUCGCCCAGGAGCAAACGGUAGCCUCUCUCUCUCUGUCUGUCUGUCUCUCUCUCUCUCUCUCCAUUGAGAUUGAGCAAAAUUUUUACAGCUUUGCGUUUCUCGGGGCUUUCCUCGUUGGAUUUGAGCUGCUGGAAAGGCUCCUGGUUUGGAGCAGGAGAAGGUGAAAAAGCGGUGGAGAGCAUUCUUCUGAUCUUAUUUUAUGAGAACCUUGUACUAGCAGAAAACCGGGCCCGAACCCACACGAUAUACGAACUGUGCCUCCUUGUUUUCAUCCCCAGAAUGGCGAACCAACAGGCGUCUUCGAAGUCAGUGAUGCUGGAAGCGGCGCCAUUCAUAGUGGGUCUCCUUAUAGCAGCACAUGUCUUUGCUCUGGUGUAUUGGAUAUAUCGACUGGCUACAGAGAAGCAGCUGCAGAGACCACAGAGAAGUAAAGCUCACUGAGGAGACUAUAUGUUUUGAAGAUGACAGUGAAGGGAGCUUCUUUGUGCUUUGCGCUGAUCACUUCGUCGAGAGAAACAAGACUGUUUGCUGAGGGAGUUUCUUUGUGCUUUAUGCUGAUCAUUUGUUGAGAGAAACAAGAAUGUUAGCAGACUGAUGCUUAACGGGUCUGCCUUUCAUUGUCCUCUAUUUAAGGUUCCGUAGUCUCGGUGGUCUCUGAUAGUUUAAUGUAAUAUGAAUCAGUGUGGAUUUGACUCUCAUUCUUCUUGUCUAUAAAUGCUUUACGAGUGAGAUAACUUAAAUAUCAAA